AGUAACGGCGAGUGAAGCGGCAAUAGCUCAAAUUUGAAAGCUGGCCUUCUGGUCCGCAUUGUAAUUUGUAGAGGAUGCUUUUAGGCAGCCGCCGGUCUAAGUUCCUUGGAACAGGACGUCAUAGAGGGUGAGAAUCCCGUAUGUGACCGGCUCUGGCACCUUAUGUAAAGCUCCUUCGACGAGUCGAGUUGUUUGGGAAUGCAGCUCUAAAUGGGAGGUAAAUUUCUUCUAAAGCUAAAUACCGGCGAGAGACCGAUAGCGCACAAGUAGAGUGAUCGAAAGAUGAAAAGCACUUUGGAAAGAGAGUUAAAAAGCACGUGAAAUUGUUGAAAGGGAAGCGCUUGCAAUCAGACUUGGACUUGGCUGUUCAACCGGUCUUCUGACCGGCCUACUCAGUCUUGUCCAGGCCAGCAUCAGUUUCGGCGGCCGGAUAAAGGCCCUGGGAAUGUAGCUGCCUCUUCGGGGGCAGUGUUAUAGCCCAGGGUGUAAUACGGCCAGCUGGGACUGAGGUCCGCGCUUCGGCUAGGAUGCUGGCGUAAUGGUUGUAAGCGGCCCGUCUUGAAACACGGACCAAGGAGUCUAACAUCUAUGCGAGUGUUAGGGUGUCAAACCCUUACGCGUAAUGAAAGUGAACGGAGGUGGGAACCCGCAAGGGUGCACCAUCGACCGAUCCUGAUGUCUUCGGAUGGAUUUGAGUAAGAGCAUAGCUGUUGGGACCCGAAAGAUGGUGAACUAUGCCUGAAUAGGGUGAAGCCAGAGGAAACUCUGGUGGAGGCUCGCAGCGGUUCUGACGUGCAAAUCGAUCGUCAAAUUUGGGUAUAGGGGCGA
rnacentral:rRNA from 1 species